CUCAAGCAUGUUAUAACAAGCACUAAAGUUUCUCUUCAUGAUCCAUUUUUUCAUCCAUUAGUGUGAUUUCCAAGCACACUUGCGUUUUGAAGAUCAAAUGAUAAGUUCAUACUGAAGCACCUACCUACAAAGAGAAACAUAUGCAAGAGUUAGUUAUGUUUUAUGUUUUUUUAUUUUUUUAACUAGAAACAUUAUAAUUGGGUCAACAAAUCCCUAGUAAUUUUAAUCUCAUAAAUAAUGUAAUUAUUAUUUGAUACUCUCUUCAUUUCAUAAUGUAGUUUGGCCACGUCCUUUAAGAUUUAAGUUUGAUCAUAAAUUUAACCAACGUGAACGACUACGGCAGAGCAAAAAUUAUACCAUUGAAUUCGUAUUCGAAAAGGCUUUCAAUGAUAUAUUUUUUGCUUCAUCGCAGUCGUCUAUGUUUAUUAAAUUUAUGAUCAAACUUAAAUCUUAGAAAACACAAACACACUACCUUAUGAAAUUGAGGGGUGUCAAUAAAGAGAGCCAUGAUAGGCUUCCCUAGAAGAAAAAAAAUGCAACAUUAAUCUCAUCCCGCUCCAGUGCAUAUCAUAACAUGGCAUCAUGGAAAUUGAUAUUGGUCAACCUAACAGAAAAGUUUAAGGUAAAAAUAAAUCAUAAUCACCCAUAAAGUGGACAUAUGUCUCGACGGUAUCGUAAGCUUCGUCUCGCCACUCAAGGAAGCACGUAACAUGAUAAAACGACAAAAAUAAGGUAUUAUAGAAAAUGAAUAUGAACUAUGUGGAAAGAGAUGUAUAUAAUUAGUAAAACAUUCUAAAUCUACCAUCGGAUCUUUUCGUUUCAUCCAUUGCUUUCCAUGCAUGACGUGUGUCCCAAUGGAGCACAACAUACAACUAUCUUUAUCCCGUCAACACGUUUCUUACUAGGGUGAUAUUCUUCAAGAAGGACCUGUGUUACAUCAUCCUUUACGGAAAAAAAGUUUCUGCAACAUAGCUCAUGUUGUAAAAGUCCUUCCGCAACAUCAUCUAUGUUAUAAAAGAAUGAAGAUUAAAAAAACCUGCAACACAACCCCUAUUCGCUCGUACGACACGUGUCUCGUGUGGCAUGUGCUCUUGACUCCUCAUGACUUUCCUUAAUUUUUUCUGCAACAACACAAAUGUUGUAGAAUUUUCUCCCAUAACAUAAGCUAUGUUUUAAAAAGUAAAAACAACUUUUUUUUGCAGCAAAACACUGUUUUAAGAAAAAAUCCGAACAAGACCUCAGUUGUAAAGAAUUUUUGUAACAGAGACCGUGUUUCCGAAAGAUAAAUAGUGGUUUACAAAUUUUGCAACAAGUAUCCUCUUGCAGGACUUGUUCUGCAACACCGGUCUUGUUGCAAAAGAGAGGUGAUGCUCGUGGACGUAUAGAUCGGAUGACUAUUUCAGUGUACAUGCAAUGGUUAACGAGGCAACAGCUGUUUUCUCGUUAUUCGUAACAAAAUCUCAGUUGCAAAAACGUUUUACAACACAACCCAUGUUUCCAAAAAAAAAUAGUGGUUCAUCUUUUUUAAACAAGCAUCCUGUUGCAGGACUUGUUCUACAACAUCGAUCUUAUUGCAUAUGGGAGGUGGCGCUCGUAGACAUAGAUCAAAUUAGAUGGCCAUUCCUGUAUACAUCCAAUGGCCAAUGAGACAGCGGAUGUUUUCUCAUUAUCCGUUCGUCGAGGCGUAGCGUGGCCCAUAUAAUUAUUUUACGUUACACAUUACAAACACCUAAAUAUCUCGUGACAAAAAUGGCAUGUCCAAUUGUUCCUCAGCUUGCAGUACAUAAAUAAUAUUUUUUCAGACUCGAUCAACCAAGAUUUAGAAUAGUUUCUUAAUAAAAACCACUUCGCCUUAUUUGACACAUUUAUCUCUCAAGUUAGUUAAUGGGCAUGGGCAUCCAAUAAAUGUAUGAUAAAUGUGCAUACUUCUAUUUUUCAAAGGAUUGUAACACAUACUUAUUUUGCUAUAUAUGGCGACAUACAAACAAUAUUGUGUAUAAUUAAAACAGAAGGUUUUCAAGAGUCAUCAUUUCAGAGCAAUUAAGAACAAAGAUUAAGUAUCAAAAAGUCCUUCAACAAUCACCAGGCCAUUGCACCUUUUCAAAAUGUUUAUCCACACCUUGAUAUUUUUGCAGUCCUUUGUUCUUCGGGUCAAUAGUAUGAGAAACUGCAUCCGGUGGUAGUUAUGAAAAAAAAUUUAGAUUAAGAUUGCAAAGAUAGCCUUGUCACGCAAGCAUAAAAUCUAAUUUCAAGAACGGACAUCAAAUUUUCAUGCAUAUUUCAUGAUUUUUCACACAAAAAGAGUCUUGUCACACAAGUAUGAGAUGAGGGUGUUAUUUUGGCAUGUCGAUAUUUUCAUAUACAUCUCAUAUUUGUGUGCACUAGCGGAGUUUGCAUGAAAAAGCUAUAGGCGGACUAGAUGGUCCAGCCUAUAAAGAUUUUCUACUACAUGGUCCAGCCUAUAAAGAUUUUCUACUAACUGAUAUUCUAUGACCCAUGUGCUGCUAUAAAUAUGAACAGAAACUCCAGAGCUGAGCGUGCCAUAGACCAUUCAACCUUGCCUAAACUCCGUCGGUGCUUCUAUGCCAAAGUUUUUUUUUGUGUCGGCAUUUCAAUAUGCAACUAUUAUGGUCAAAACCUCACCAAAUGACAUGAAACUUCAUGUUUUUUUUGGUGUGUGAAAUGCAUUAGAAAAUGUCUGUAAUUGCCGUUGCGAAGAAACUGUAUGGCCGGUCCUUUGAACCUGACAGCUAUAUAUGUACACUCUAGUUCAGCGGUUAGCAAAUCAUGAAAAUGGGAUCGCUGCCUUGGCAAGUCAUUCACAUGUGGUUGCGGUGGUUAGCUGCCCGUUGAGGUGGAAUAUGGGCAUGCUGUUUUUAGGAAAAAGAUUGCAAUAUUAGUUUACAGGACACAUCGACUUUCGUAAAGCAUCUUCAAUAGAUGGUUUUAAUAUAAAAGUAACUAACUUUUGAACCGUUUGAGACCAAAAACGCAGCUUUAACAGACGGUUCAUAUGUAAAAAAAAUUGGACCGCGACCUCCUCG
rnacentral:lncRNA from 1 species